rnacentral:lncRNA from 1 species
AAAGGAAAAGGGAAUUGAGGGAAAUUGGAGGAGGGGACGAACGAUGAGAGACUGUAGACUCUGAGAAACAAAUUGAGCAUUUUGUAGGGGGCAAGGGAGAGCCUGGUGGUGGGUAUUAAGGAGGGCAGGUAUUGCAUGGAGCAAUGGGUGUGGUGAAAAAAUAAUGAAUACUGUUUUUCUGAAAAUAAAUAAAUUAAUCGAAAAAAAAAGAAAAUAAUAAGUAAGUAAAUAAAUAAAUAAAUAAAAUCUUGUUUGAUUUCUAAGAUCAAAAAAAGAAAAAAAAAAGAAAAGAAAAAGUUAGACAACAUUGCCUCAUUCCAAGUACAGGAGAGGACCCAAGGAUAAGGAGCUGGGAACACGCCUGCUGGGGGGCUCUCCUCCUCCCUCACAGAGAUGAAGCCCAAGGCUACACGAAGUCCCUGUCUCCUUGUGCUUGAGGAUGUGGGCCCUGUCGACCCUUUUACCUUUGUCCUUUCAAGCUCCCUUGGACUCAUUGUAUCCACCAUCCCCCCGUUCCCUGGGUAUCUGCAUGUUCUCAUUUCAGCCUGUCUGGCAUCAGACAAAGCAUCCUCAGUGUUGUCUUCCAAUUUCGUGUUCUGCCUUUCAGCUGCAUCUUCUCACAGAUGGAAGGAUCAGUCACAGUAAGUUUUUGUUUUUCUCUUUUACCUCCAGAGAAUUGAAUUAACUCACUUCCUGAUUUCCAUCUUCUUUCCAUAAUAUAACUUCAUUAUUUCUACAAACACUCAAUGUGCUCCAUUUUACAGUAGUUCACAUUUUUAA